AUGACGAGCUCUCGUCUUUCAAAGCCAGUGGGAGAUUUGCUGCUGUUCUUCCAGGGGACCGUGCAUCACGCUUGAGGCUGAGCAGCCCAGCACAGACUCCGAGAUCAGUGACAAAGGCUCCAUCACUUGAAGGAGUUUGAAUUAGGAAGGAAAAAUCUAGGUACAAAUCAGAGCUGGCAUCACUAGAUCAUCUGAGAUCUGCUGUCAUCUUUGCCAAACUUUUGCUGUUUAAUAGUGAGGAAAACAGGUGGGUUUCCAGUGACAUGCAAGAUUUAAUCCCUUGUGUCUGGUCUUUCUUUGAUGAGGCUGCCUGUUCCUUUGAUCCAGUGGGAUGCUAUGUUUUUCCUGGCAGUCAACAACGUAACACUGGUGAAUCAGUUUUGAAACUAUCCAGUAUCAUCUCAGAGAGAGGGUUCAAUAACUCAACAGUUGGAAAAAUAAAUUUGUGACUUGUACUAUUUUUUUCCAGCCUCUUCAUAACACAUCUGUGGAAUUUCUGCCUUUUUCUGCCUUCACUUCUCCCACCAUAAGGGACAGCAAAAUGAA